rnacentral:rRNA from 1 species
GAUGAACGCUGGCGGCGUGCCUAAUACAUGCAAGUCGAGCGAAUGGAUUAAGAGCUUGCUCUUAUGAAGUUAGCGGCGGACGGGUGAGUAACGCGUGGGUAACCUGCCCAUAAGACUGGGAUAACUCCGGGAAACCGGGGCUAAUACCGGAUAACAUUUUGAACCGCAUGGUUCGAAAUUGAAAGGCGGCUUCGGCUGUCACUUAUGGAUGGACCCGCGUCGCAUUAGCUAGUUGGUGAGGUAACGGCUCACCAAGGCAACGAUGCGUAGCCGACCUGAGAGGGUGAUCGGCCAAACUGGGACUGAGACACGGCACAGACUCCUACGGGAGGCAGCAGUAGGGAAUCUACCGCAAUGGACGAAAGUCUGACGGAGCAACGCCGCGUGAGUGAUGAAGGCUUUCGGGUCGUAAAACUCUGUUGUUAGGGAAGAACAAGUGCUAGUUGAAUAAGCUGGCGCCUUGACGGUACCUAACCAGAAAGCCACGGCUAACUACGUGCCAGCCGCCGCCGUAA